rnacentral:rRNA from 1 species
AUAUUGGAAGCUUGCUUCCGAUAGGCGUCGACCGGCGCACGGGUGAGUAACGCGUAUCCAACCUGCCCAUCACUUGGGGAUAACCUUGCGAAAGUAAGACUAAUACCCAAUGAUAUCUCUAGAAGACAUCUGAAAGAGAUUAAAGAUUUACCGGUGAUGGAUGGGGAUGCGUCUGAUUAGCUUGUUGGCAGGGUAACGGCCCACCAAGGCAACGAUCAGUAGGGGUUCUGAGAGGAAGGUCCCCACAUUGGUACUGAGACACGGACCAAACUCC